CGCGCAGCCUCACUGCCUUGGAGCAAUAGGAGAAGGCCAAAACACAAGUGUGUGUGGUCCACCCAUGGCGCGCGCCUGACAUCACUACACCAUGUUGUCGGAGUUUUGUGGUCGGAGGUAACCUCGCCAGCACGCUGUUCCCUCGGUCAAACCCGGAAUGGGAGGCGAGACAUGCGGGUACCGCGGGUGAAGAGACGCCGCUGUUGUCCACAUCUGCCCUAGCUUCACUUCCACCUCGCAUGCGGUUUAUUUAACGGCGUCGCUCCGGGGAAAUCACUGGGACUAUGUGAGCAUCAUGCUGGCUGUGCGAUGCCUGCUGUUCGCUGCAGUGAGUGCACGGUACGCCACGACAGGUUUGAGGGAAUGGGAGAGUCUGCCUGCAGAGGAGGUUGUUCAGCCCAAGCGGCUCCUGCAGCAGAUCCACUCCCAGGAGGAGCUGAUCCACGGCCACCUGGGCACGCGGGUCAGAAACCACACCGAGGGAGUGCAGCCUGUCCAUCUGGCCCAGAGCAGCUUCCUGGUGGAGGCCUUUGGCACGUCUUUCAUCCUUGACCUGGAACUCAACCACAAUCUCCUGUCUUCAGACUAUGUGGAGCGGCACUUUGACGAGGAUGGGCAGCCGUCCCAGAACACGGGAGGUGAGCACUGCUACUACCACGGCGGUGUGCGGGGAGUGCCCGGCUCCUGGGCCGCGCUGUCCACCUGCCACGGCCUGCGGGGGAUGUUUUCUGAUGGGAACUUCUCCUACGGGAUUGAACCGAUUCUUUCGCUCAGUGGAGAGGAGCUGAAUGACCAUGUGGUUUAUCGCAUGCCUGACGUUGAUCUCCAUCUGCUCGCCUGUCCAGGUUGCUCUGUGAACAGCACACAGCCUGAGGGGCAGACAGGCAGCCACAGCGAUGGGGAUGGUGGGGUGCGAGGAGACAGGGAGACAGAGACCGGAGACAGUUGGUCUGAGCAAGAGGAGCCCGUCUUCACCGAAGGCCUGAGGCGCUCCAAAAGACAAGUGCGGCGAGGACAGCGCACCGUGCAGACCGAGACCAAGUACAUCGAGCUGAUGGUCGUCAACGACCACGAUCUGUUUGUCCAGCUGCGUCGCUCAGCCAGCCAGACAAGGAACUUUGCCAAAGCGGUGGUUAACAUGGCCGAUGCGAUCUACAAGGAGCAGCUCAACACUCGUAUCGUGCUCGUGGCCAUGGAGACCUGGUCCACCCAGAACAUGGUCUCAGUGGGUGAUGACCCUUUAGUCACCCUGCGUGACUUCAUGAAGUACAGGAAGGAGAGCAUCAAGGACCGCAGCGACGCCACACACCUCUUCUCGGGCCGCACGUUCCUGAGCAGCCGCAGCGGGACGGCCUACAUCGGGGGCAUCUGCUCGCUCACCAGGGGUGGAGGCGUCAAUGAGUAUGGCAACGUGGGUCCCAUGGCCAUCACGUUGUGUCAGAGCCUGGGCCAGAACAUCGGCAUGAUGUGGAACAAGGAGCGGCCCAGUGCAGGAGACUGCAGGUGUCCAGACCCGUGGCUGGGCUGUAUCAUGGAGGACACAGGCUACUACCUGCCCAGGAAGUUUUCUCGCUGCAGUAUAGACGAGUAUCUGCGUUUCCUCCAGCAGGGAGGCGGCAGCUGUCUCUUCAACAAGCCCAGCAAGCUGCUGGACCCACCCGAGUGUGGCAAUGGAUUUGUAGAGACUGGAGAGGAAUGUGAUUGUGGAUCACAAGUGGACUGCAUGAGGAGUGGAGGGGCCUGCUGUAAGAAGUGCACACUUACCCACAAUGCCAUGUGCAGCAAUGGCCUGUGCUGCAGGGACUGCAAGUAUGAGCUGAGAGGGGUGACAUGUCGCGACGCCGUCAAUGAUUGUGACAUUCCCGAGAUCUGCAUGGGAGACUCCAGCCAGUGUCCCCAUAACGUCCACAAGCUGGACGGCUACAUGUGUGACGCUGGACAGGGUCGUUGUUAUGGAGGUCGGUGUAAAACCAGAGAUGGCCAGUGCAGGACUCUGUGGGGCUACAAUACAGCUGACAGGUUCUGCUAUGAGAAACUCAACUCUGAAGGCACAGAGAAAGGAAACUGUGGUCGGGACUCCAGUGGCCAGUGGAUACAGUGCAAUAAGCAAGAUGUUCUCUGUGGUUUCCUGCUAUGCACCAACAUGACAGCCAAGCCUCGGUUUGGAGAGCUGCAGGGGGAGAUCACCAGUUUGACCAUCUACCAUCAGAACAGAUACCUUGACUGCAGGGGCGGCCAUGCAGUGCUGGAGGACGGCUCGGACAUGGGCUACGUCGAGGACGGAACGCCGUGUGGGCCGAACAUGAUGUGUCUGGAGCGCCGCUGCCUCCCCGUCACCACCUUCAACCUCAGCAUCUGCCCCGGCUCCUCCACCUCACGCAUCUGCUCCCACCACGGGACUUGCAGUAACGAGGUGAAGUGCAUCUGUGACCCAGACUACACAGGGAAGGACUGUAGCGUGUUUGACCCCAUCCCCAUCCCAACCCCGCCCGAGGGCCCAGAGAAAUACAAAGGUCCCAGUGGUACCAAUAUCAUAAUAGGCUCCAUUGCUGGGGCGAUUCUGCUGGCAGCGAUAGUCCUAGGGGGAACUGGCUGGGGAUUUAAAAACAUCCGGAGAGGAAGGUAGAGCCUCAGAGCUUUCUCCAUGUGCUCAGUGCUGCUGCUGUAGUCGCCUGAGCUGACGAGCUGCACUCCCUUCAGGAAGGAGGCCUGCGGAGAGAAUCACCCACACUGUCACGGGAAGGAGGCUGAAUGGGAAUUAUAAUCGCCAACAACUGGAGGAAUUUGUUCUCAUCCGUCCAGGGUUGCAGUGUUUUAACCGUGUGGUGUCACCUCGUGGGCUCGUUCUUCAUGGUCGGUGAGAGAUGCAUCUUCCAGCCCCAGCAGCUGUCCAAUGCCAGAAACCCCCUGCUCUUCCCAGCAUGCAACAGCUAGAUGAGGACCCCUGCUGGCUGUACAGACUUCAUGCGUUUACAUGUCAGAGACCAGCAGCACCAGAUGCUGUUUCAUGUUACAUCAGGAGCCUCACCCCAAGUUCACUUUAUGAAGGGCUCAAGUGCACAAAAUGUGUUCACCCGCAGGUA